CUACGGAGGGCACCAGUGGGGAAUAUUGCACAAUGGGCGCAAGCCUGAUGCAGCCAUGCCGCGUGUAUGAAGAAGGCCUUCGGGUUGUAAAGUACUUUCAGCGGGGAGGAAGGGAGUAAAGUUAAUACCUUUGCUCAUUGACGUUACCCGCAGAAGAAGCACCGGCUAACUCCGUGCCAGCAGCCGCGGUAAUACGGAGGGUGCAAGCGUUAAUCGGAAUUACUGGGCGUAAAGCGCACGCAGGCGGUUUGUUAAGUCAGAUGUGAAAUCCCCGGGCUCAACCUGGGAACUGCAUCUGAUACUGGCAAGGUUGAGUCUCGUAGAGGGGGGUAGAAUUCCAGGUGUAGCGGUGAAAUGCGUAGAGAUCUGGAGGAAUACCGGUGGCGAAGGCGGCCCCCUGGACGAAGACUGACGCUCAGGUGCGAAAGCGUGGGGAGCAAACAGGAUUAGAUUACCCCGGUAGUC
rnacentral:rRNA from 1 species